UACGUAGGGGGCAAGCGUUGUCCGGAUUUAUUGGGCGUAAAGAGCGUGUAGGCGGUUAGGUAGGUCCGUUGUGAAAACUCGAGGCUCAACCUCGAGACGCCGAUGGAAACCAUCUAACUAGAGUCCGGAAGAGGAGAAUGGAAAUUCCUGGUGUAGCGGUGAAAUGCGCAGAUAUCAGGAAGAACACCCGUGGCUAAGGCGGUUCUCUAGUACGGUACUGACGCUGAGACGCGAAAGCGUGGGGAGCGAACAGG
rnacentral:rRNA from 1 species